GUAGGUGAACCUGCGGAGGGAUCAUUAAAAGGUAUCUACCCUCCUGGUCGUAAAAAGCCAGGGAGAGGUAGUCCCAGAUCAACCACUGUGCGCACAUAUUGAAGAUUUAUUUUGCUUUUGGUAGGCGUUGUUCAAAAUUUUUUAUUUUUUUGAACAAUUCUGCCAUAAGUAAUGCCCAAUAUCAAUUAUAAGCCUUUUUUUUGUGACUGAAAUUUUUUAAAUAAAAAAAAUACAACUUUCAACAACGGAUCUCUUGGCUCUC
rnacentral:misc_RNA from 1 species